rnacentral:rRNA from 1 species
CCUACGGGAGGCAGCAGUGAGGAAUAUUGGUCAAUGGACGAGAGUCUGAACCAGCCACGUAGCGUGAAGGAUGACUGCCCUAUGGGUUGUAAACUUCUUUUAUAUGGGAAUAAAACGUUCCACGUGUGGGAUUUUGUAUGUACCAUAUGAAUAAGGAUCGGCCAACUCGGUGCCAGCAGCCGCGGUAAUACGGAGGUUCCGAGCGUUAUCCGGAGUUAUUGGGUUUUAAGGGAGCGUAGGUGGAGUGUUAAGUCAGUUGUGAAAGUUUGGGGCUCAACCGUAGAAUUGCAGUUGAAACUGGGGUUGUAGAGUACAGGAGAGGUAGGCGGAAUUCGUAGUGUAGCGGUGAAAUGCUUAGAUAUCAGGAGGAACACCAGUGGCGAAGGCGGUCCGCUGGACGGCAACUGACGCUGAGGCUCGAAAGUGUGGGGAGCAAACAGGAUUAGAUACCCCAGUAGUC